rnacentral:rRNA from 1 species
AGCACCACAACGGGUGGAGCUUGCGGUUUAAUUGGAUUCAACGCCGGAAAUCUUACCGGGACCGACAGCAAUAUGAAGGCCAGGCUGAAGACUUUGCCGGAUUAGCUGAGGGGUGGUGCAUGGCCGUCGUCAGUUCGUACUGUGAAGCAUCCUGUUAAGUCAGGCAACGAGCGAGACCCACGCCCACAGUUGCCAGCGUACUCUCUGGAGUGACGGGUACACUGUGGGGACCGCCGCUGCUAAAGCGGAGGAAGGAAUGGGCAACGGUAGGUCAGUAUGCCCCGAAUAUCCCGGGCUACACGCGAGCUACAAUGGUUGGUACAAUGGGUAUCUACCCCGAAAGGGGACGGGAAUCUCCUAAAACCAAUCUUAGUUCGGAUUGAGGGCUGCAACUCGCCCUCAUGAAGCUGGAAUCCGUAGUAAUCGCGUUUCAACAGAACGCGGUGAAUACGUCCCUGCUCCUU